rnacentral:lncRNA from 10 species
UAUGAAGGAAAACAUCAGAAGAAACAGGUUAAAGAAUUAGAUGUGGUCCUCACAGGGAAUAUUUGCCCCUGGCCGCAGAUACAAAGGAUGCAUUUCAAGCUCUCCCAAGAACUCUUGCAGUGCUCCAUCCCUGUGUCCUCAGAAAUGGCCCUGAGUCUCAGCAGCUCAAAAAGACUCCAGUUGGAUAGUGAGAAGCCACUGCUUCCUUGCAAGAACCUUCCCAAAUUUCUCUAGCCAUGUGAAGACAUGCUUGAUUCCCCUCACCUUCACCAUGAUGUUUCUGGGAGAAUAACAAAAAGAAGGAAGAUUCAGUAGGAAAGGAAAGCAAUGAAGAAGCCAAGAAAGAGACAAGGAACCCCGGAAAGAGAGUCAGCAAAGAGAGAAAUAGAAACAUUAAUUUCAGAGGAGUUGGAAGUGUUGUGAACUAUUAAUCCUUUAGCUUUGCUUUGGACUUGAUAGCAAAAGUAGCUGCAUGCAGAAGUAAAAUUGUUAAGAAUGUCACAUAAAAUGUGAGGGUGAGCUCAGCAUGAAGGAACAGCCUCUUCCAUUGGUGAGGUGAAGAAACUGAAGACUUUAGCCAGAGCCAAGUGGCUAAUUCAGAGUUUAAUACACCUUUGACCUCAAACCCUUUGUGGUCACCUUUGAACAGUGCCUCCCUCUCUGAAAUAAAAUACUGGUUCUGUCAUUAAUUAUUAAUUAUUG